UCCUCAAAUUCUGAUGCAGUACCGACUCGUUUUCUUUCAGUUUAUUUUCGUGAAUUUAAAUGUGUGCAGCCUUCCAUUUGAGAGGCACCCACAGAUAAGCUUUGUUGUACUGAAAAAAGCUCUGAAUGAGGAGUCGAUUCCUCUUGAUGGGAUCGAUUCCAUCGUGGGGUCGAUUCCCAACGCCUCGGAAUCGAGGAAUCAAUUCUUUUUUGAAUCGAUUCCCAGCUCUACUUUUUAAGUCAACGGGAGAGAGCGGUUCUCAGCGUCGUUGCCGCCGCUUUGCUGCACUCUUUCGGGGAAAUAAAAUACUGUUUGUUUUUGGGCAAGUUUUGGAGUCAGUCACGCCAUCUUUCAGCUAUGAGUGAAAUGCGAGGCCGCGGUCUAAAGUUCGCAGUUCCCCCGCGAACAGCAGCCCUUCACCGGUUCAGAUUUCGACGACACACCGGCACGAGAAUUAGCACUAUUUCGAAAGUGGUGUCCAGCACAACCUGUUCUGGGUUUUGACCUCCUUUCUGUAGGAACCCAUGUGACCAUGGGGAUCAUGUUCCAAACGAUCAUAUGGAUUUGCCUAUACUGCUGCCAUGCAAAUUACCUGAGCGAUUCAAUUUCUCCCACAGGCUCCAAAUCGCUCGCAAUUCCCUCUGCAGCGUAUCCAGACAUGCCAUGGCCCUGAAACGGGCCAAUCCAAGCAAAGGAAACAUUAAAGAAGAGAAGAGGAGACACCAGUGGGCAAAAGAGAUGCAGAGGAUCAGGGAGGAAGCUGUAUGCCUCGUUCAUCUCUGUUUACUCCAGCUGUCUCCCAUGCCGCAGACGGAAAGAACAAGAAGAGGGUAGAGAAACUGAGAGGCUGGAGAGUUACACACCAAGCAAGGAAGGCUGAAAGAGAGAGAAUGAUGAAGACAUGGCAGUGGACACUGCGGUUUCACAAGGGCAGGCGAUGGGGAAAGGUUAGUGAAAACAAAGGAAGUGAACGAACACACACACACACACACACACACACAGGAAAGUGCUGAUCCAUGGUC